UACAGAGGUCUCAAGCGUUGUUCGGAUUCAUUGGGCGUAAAGGGUGCGUAGGUGGCGGGGUAAGUCAGGUGUGAAAUCUCGGGGCUCAACCCCGAAACUGCACUUGAUACUGCCUUGCUCGAGUACUGGAGAGGAGAUUGGAAUUUACGGUGUAGCAGUGAAAUGCGUAGAUAUCGUAAGGAAGACCAGUGGCGAAGGCGAAUCUCUGGACAGUUACUGACACUGAGGCAGCGAAGGCCAGGGGAGCAAACCGGGAUUA
rnacentral:rRNA from 1 species